rnacentral:rRNA from 1 species
CGCGUAGGCGGCAAAUCAAGUCAGAUGUGAAAUUCCGAAGCUUAACUUCGGAGCUGCAUCUGAAACUGAUUAGCUAGUGGAUAGACGGAGAAAAUGGAAUUCCACAUGUAGCGGUGAAAUGCGUAGAUAUGUGGAGGAACACCGGUGGCGAAAGCGGUUUUCUAGUUUAUACCAGACGCUGAGGCGCGAAAGCGAGGGGAGCAAACA